GUGCAGGAAGACGGUCCUAUGGAUUGUAAACUGCUUUUGUACGGGAAGAACAAGGGGCACGUGUGCCCCUCUGACGGUACCGUAAGAAUAAGGAUCGGCUAACUCCGUGCCAGCAGCCGCGGUAAUACGGAGGAUCCGAGCGUUAUCCGGAAUCAUUGGGUUUAAAGGGUCCGUAGGCGGGCCGUUAAGUCAGGGGUGAAAGUCUGCGGCUCAACCGUAGGACUGCCCUUGAUACUGGCGGCCUUGAGUUAUGGUGAAGUGGCUAGAAUAUGUGGUGUAGCGGUGAAAUGCAUAGAUAUCACAUGGAAUACCGAUUGCGAAGGCAGGCCACUAACCAUAUACUGACGCUGAUGGACGAAAGCGUGGGGAGCGAACAGGAUUAGAUACCCUGGUAGUCCACGCCGUAAACGAUGGAUACUAGCUGUCCGGUACCUUGAGUACUGGGCGGCCAAGCGAAAGUGAUAAGUAUCC
rnacentral:rRNA from 1 species